rnacentral:tRNA from 1 species
GAAAUAAACAUAGUAAAGCUUCUAACUUUACAAAUAGCAAUAAUUUGUUAUUAUUUCU